rnacentral:lncRNA from 1 species
UAUAAUCAUGGUUUUGAAUACACCCUUAGCCAAAAUGAAUUUAGCCAAUCAUACUUAAAGCAAAACAAAGAUUAAAUGAAUUAGACAUUGAAAUAUAAGAUAGAAUACACCUAAAAUUGUUCAACAACUCAGAAUGAAGAGCCAAACAAUUGAGUGAAUCUGUCCCUUUUCCUUGCUUGCGGCAGAUUGGUUGUUGAAGGUUUCUGGGCUGUUUUGAUGAUGUAGAAUGGAUUUUGGGGGGUGUAGAGGCACGGCAAGGGGUGUAGGGUGAGUGUGAAAGAGUGUUUGAUGGUUGGAAGGUGGUGGAGAACUCGGCAAAGAGGGUGGAAGAAGGUGGAGCGGCUGUUGUAUUUUCUGGGCGCUAGAAUGGUGUUUCUGGGGUGUUUUACUGCCUAGGGUGUGUAUGGACGAAUUUCUGUGAUGAAUGAUGAAUAUGGGAGGUGAUAAUUUCGGCCAAAAGGUUUAAUGAGUAUAUAUAGGCACUUAAAAACCCUAGCAAAUCAGAUUAGGGUUUCUAGAAGCCCAAAUCCAUUAGAAACUAGGUUAAAACAAUCAGAUUUUUAAUGGGAAAAGGCCUAGGGUGCGGCUGGAUGGAUAGCGUAAAGGAUGGGCCUUCUAGAAUGCCUUGCAAGGCAAGGCAAAGGGUUUCUAAAAAGGGGAAAGGUGCGGCCCAAAGAGGAUGAGGAUAGGUCAUCUAAAAGCCCAAAGCCAAGAAUAAAAACUCUCAAAAAUGGAAACCUCCAAGAAUAGAAACUUCCAACUUUAGAAACUUUGGUUUCCACUUCUGCAUUCUUUGUUCUUCACUUUCAUUUCUUCAUCUCUUAGGCUCCUUUGACCUUCAAACUUGUCCAUUCCUUGUGCUCUAUAUGCAUACACUCCAUUCCAGCUCAAUUUUGCUCUAAAAUGCUCCAAUUUGCAUCAUUUUAUGUAAUAUGCCCUUAAACCCUAAAAACACAUGAAACUAGCUUAAAAGACUACUUUAAACUCAUAAAACAUAAUGAAAAUGCAUAAGAACUAGCUAACUAAGGCGCAUAAAUAUGCUCCUAUCAACCUCCACCAACGUAUCUUCCAAAACUCCUUUUGGAUAUGCAUUAGAACAAUCAACUAAUUGAAUAAUAACACCAUCAUUUUUAAGCUCUCCUAGAAUCAUAGAUGCAUAGAUAGAGUAAGGCAUGACAUUAAUGGAAGCACCUAAAUCUAACAUAGCAUGUUCAAACUUGGUAUUACCAAUAACACAAGGGAUUGUGAAACUACCUCAAUCUUUGCAUUUACGUGGCAGUUUUCUUUGUAACACUGUAGAGACAUUUUCACUUACCCGUACCACUUCCUUUUCCGAGAUCCGUCUCCUUGUUGUACAAAGCUCUUUAAAAAAUUUAGCAUACUUUGGAACUUGCUUUAUUGCAUCAAGAAGUGGGAUACUGACUUGUACCUUCCUGAAGGUUUCUAACAUGUCUUUUUCAUUAUCUUCUUUCUUAGAUUGCAUAAACCUGUGAGGGAAAGGCACAUUUGGUGGAAUAGGGUUAGAAGGAAUUGAAUUUGAACCAACCUUACCUAAAUUGGGUGGCAUAGGAGCCUUAAAAGGUUACGGCAAAGAUUGUUCUUCUCUUGUCAUGGCCUUGUCCUCCUCUUCUUCUUUGGGCAGCAGCUGUUUGUCCUAUUUUUGGCUUUGUUUGGACGUUUUUGGGUUGGUUCCAAUUUCUUUACCACUUCUCAAGGUAAUAGCAUUAGCAGUUUCAAAACCUCCAUUUGGAUUGACAAUGGUUGAACUAGGAAGUUUGCCUUGUUCUCUAAAUUGUCCCAUGAAUUCUACCAUUUGCCCAAUUUGAUUCUUCACUUCACCCAUCUCUUUGACUUGAUUUUGUAAACCUUGAGUGAAAGAAGUUAGUGCUUGAAGAACUUUAUCAUAAUCCAUUGACGAACUUGAAUUUGGUUAGGAAGAUUGUGGCGAAGGUUAUGGUGGUGCAAAUGGCCUUUGAUAGAGCCCAGAAGGUGUCUAUCUAUAUCUGCCUUGUUGUUGAGUUUGUUGAGGUUCCCUCCACCUAUAUUUGUAUGGUCUCUCCAGCUCGGAUUAUAGGUGUUGGAAAAUGGGUCAUUCCUUGGUUGAUUUUGGCCUUGAUAACCUAUGGCAUUGGCACUUUCCCAUUCCCCAUUCUCUAUUAAUUGAGGACAUUGAUCAGUAGGGUGUCCUUGCAUAGAGCACAUGCCACAAGCAGCUGCACCUUACACUUUGGAUCCUUCAACAACCUGUGAUAUAAGAGUAGAGAGAUUAGCCAUUUAAGAUUGAAGUUCUAAAAUAGCACUUACCUCAUUAACUUGAUUUUGCCGUGUAAUUCCCUUCCUUUAACUCCUUUGUAUUGUUGUGCAUUCAAGGCUCGAUUCGCUAUUAAGAUCUUCAUAGCAACUGGUGUUUUGUUAACCAAAACACCUCCUGCUAAAGCAUCAAGCAUUUGUCUCUCAAAUGGAAGUAGUCCUUCAUAGAAAUAUUGAAUUAAAAACCCUUCCUUCAUUUAAUGUUGUGGACAAGAUGCAACUAAAGUCUUCAAAUGUUCAUAAUACACUUGAAAGGAUUCUUCUAGACCUUGUUGAAUUCAACUAAUUCUCUUCCUAAAAAGAACGACUCUUGAAGUUGGGAAGAAUUUCUCUAAGAAUGUUUUCUUCGUGCUUUCCCAAGAGGUGACGGUUCCAGGUGCUAAUUCAAAGAGCCAAUGUUUAGCCUUUUCCAAAAGAGAGAAUGGAAAGGCUUUCAUCUUCAAAAGAUUCCCAUCCACAUUAAUUGGUGUCAUACUAGAACAUACUACUUCAAAUUCCUUAAAAUGGUUGUUCGGAUCUUCCAUGGACAACCCAUGGUAUUUGGGAAUGUGAUGCAGCAAACUAGACUUCUGCUCAAACUCAUCAGUUUUGCCUUAAACUGUCGCAGGGUAUUGAAUGCAAAGGGGAACAGGAUUGUGAAGGAUGAUUUUGUGAAAACAUGUUCAUUUGAGCAACAUCUAUAAGCAUGCAAUUAACAAUUAAAGGCGGAAUCAUGCUAUGCACUAAAAAACAAAACAUUACCCAUGAAAUUCAAAGCCUAGUAGAUUGGUGAACCAAGACUCAACUCAAAUCA